rnacentral:rRNA from 1 species
GCUUUGGCCAGGCGGUCCGCCAAUGGUUGGUACUGCUUUGGCUGGAGUUCACUUUCUGGUAAACCUUCAUGCCCUUUAUUGGGUGUGUCGGGGACCCAGGACUUUUACCUUGAAAAAAUUAGAGUGUUCAAAGCAGGCCUAUGCUUGAAUACAUUAGCAUGGAAUAAUAAAAUAGGACUUGGGUUCUAUUUUGUUGGUUUCUAGGACCAAAGUA